GCGGAGGAAAAGAAAAUAACAAUGAUUUCCCCAGUAACGGCGAGUGAAGAGGAAAGAGCUCAAAGUUGGAACCUGCUUGGCUUAGCCAAGCCGGAUUGUAAACUGUAGAAGUGUUUUCCUGACACGCCAGGCAAAAAAGUCCUUUGGAACAGGGCAUCAUAGAGGGUGAGAAUCCCGUCUUUGGCCUGAGCAGUUGUCUUUUGCGAUACACUUUCAAAGAGUCAGGUUGUUUGGGAAUGCAGCCUAAAUUGGGUGGUAAAUCUCACCUAAAGCUAAAUAUUGGCGAGAGACCGAUAGCGAACAAGUACCGUGAGGGAAAGAUGAAAAGAACUUUGAAAAGAGAGUUAAACAGUAUGUGAAAUUGUUAAAAGGGAACCGUUUGGAGCCAGACUGGCUUGGCUGUAAUCAAUCUGGGCUUUUGCCCGGAUGCACUUGCGGCCUAUGCCUGCCAACGACAGUUUUAUUUGGGGGAAAAAACCAGGCGGAAUGUGGCCCCUUUGGGGGUGUUAUAGCCUCUUGGAAAAUACCCUGGAUUGGACUGAGGAUCGCAGCGAAUGCCAUUAGGCGAGAUUGCGGCGUGCUUUCGCUGAUAAAUGCUAGAAUUUCUGCUUCGGGUGGUGCUAGUGUUUAAAGGUGGAACCCGCGCUGUAUAUUUUUUAUUCGCUUAGGUUGUUGGCUUAUGACUCUAAUGAC
rnacentral:rRNA from 1 species